rnacentral:rRNA from 1 species
UACGAAGGGGGCUAGCGUUGCUCGGAAUUACUGGGCGUAAAGGGAGCGUAGGCGGCUUUGCAAGACAGAUGUGAAAUCCCCGGGCUCAACCUGGGAACUGCAUUUGUGACUGCAAGGCUAGAGUACGGCAGAGGGGGAUGGAAUUCCGCGUGUAGCAGUGAAAUGCGUAGAUAUGCGGAGGAACACCAAUGGCGAAGGCAAUCCCCUGGGCCUGUACUGACGCUCAUGCACGAAAGCGUGGGGAGCAAACAGG